GAGCGUCAGCGAGAAAGCGUUGCCGCAGGCAACGACCCGAAGGGCGAAGCGCGCAGCGCUGAGUCAUCCUUCCCCCAUCACCA
rnacentral:sRNA from 1 species